GGGGUUGACCGGUUUUGACAGCGUGUAGAAGUGGUGUGUAAGCGUGCAGAGCAAUGAUGGCUACGCUCUUUAAUCUGGGACAUCAGCAAUUUAAAUGGCGAAAAUAACUACGCUCUUGCUGCUUGAUUGAAGUACAGUAGAUCAGCUUAAUCUCCGCAACAGUUGCAGAGACAAGACAUCGCCCGAUUGUCGUCGUCCCGAGACUAAUCGACAAGGCGGUGCAGGUAAAUCGGGAAUAGGAGAUUGAGAGUCUCGCGAAAUCUCCGAAAUUUUAGAGACUAAGGUCGCAGUUGGUUGUCCUUCGCCUGCUGCAACACGAAAACCAAGUAAAGGAAUACGCACGUAGAAAGCUCAUUAGUUCCGCGUUUGGACGGGGGUUCAAGUCCCCCCAACUCCACCA
rnacentral:tmRNA from 1 species